rnacentral:rRNA from 1 species
GAUGAACGCUAGCGGGAGGCUUAACACAUGCAAGUCGAGGGGCAGCAUAGAGUAGCAAUACUUUGAUGGCGACCGGCGCACGGGUGAGUAACGCGUAUGUAACCUACCUUGUACAGGGGGAUAGCCCGGAGAAAUUCGGAUUAAUACCCCAUAAUGAUAUUUGAAGGCAUCUUUAGAUACUUAAAGUUUCGACGGUACGAGAUGGGCAUGCGUGACAUUAGCUAGUUGGUAAGGUAACGGCUUACCAAGGCUACGAUGUCUAGGGGUCCUGAGAGGGUGAUCCCCCACACUGGUACUGAGACACGGACCAGACUCCUACGGGAGGCAGCAGUGAGGAAUAUUGGUCAAUGGGCGUAAGCCUGAACCAGCCAUCCCGCGUGAAGGAAGAAGGCGCUAUGCGUCGUAAACUUCUUUUCCGGAGGAAUAAAAUUUCGUACGUGUACGGGACUGAAGGUACUCCGGGAAUAAGCAUCGGCUAACUCCGUGCCAGCCGCCGCGGUAAUAC